rnacentral:lncRNA from 1 species
UCGGGAGUCGCUUUAUCUACUUUGUAUUUGUGCAUGGAAACCCGCUCCCUAAUGGGUGAGUGAGGGUUGUCUGAGGGGACUAGUAGAUCACCAAGAAAUGUUACACAAAAAGCCUCAAGUUAAAGAGGGCGCCCUUUUUGGACGGAAAGGUAAAAAAGGCUAGCUAUGGGAUAACUCCGCCUGUCGAGGCUGGCGAGAGAGAGGAAGUUUCCUAUCCGACAUCAUAAGACAAUUAAGCUUGAAAAAAAUAAGGUAUGUU